UACGUAGGGUGCAAGCGUUGUCCGGAAUUAUUGGGCGUAAAGAGCUCGUAGGCGGUCUGUCGCGUCGGCUGUGAAAACCCGGGGCUCAACCCCGGGCCUGCAGUCGAUACGGGCAGACUAGAGUGUGGUAGGGGAGACUGGAAUUCCUGGUGUAGCGGUGAAAUGCGCAGAUAUCAGGAGGAACACCGGUGGUGUAGACGGCUUUCUGGACCGUAACUGACGCUGAGACACGAAAGCGUGGGUAGCAAACAGG
rnacentral:rRNA from 1 species